rnacentral:rRNA from 1 species
AUUGAACGCUGGCGGCAGGCCUAACACAUGCAAGUCGAACGAGUGGCGGACGGGUGAGUAAUGUAUGGGAAACUGCCCGAUGGAGGGGGAUAACUACUGGAAACGGUAGCUAAUACCGCAUAGCUUCGGAUGUGGCCAGAUGGGAUUUGCUAGUAGGUGGGGUAACGGCUCACCUAGGCGACGAUCCCUAGCUGGUCUGAGAGGAUGACCGGCAACACGGGAACUGAGACACGGCCCGAACUCCUACGGGAGGCAGCAGUGGGGAAUAUUGGCAAAUGGGCGAAAGCCUGACGCAGCCAGGCGGCGGGGAUGAAGAAGGCUUUCGGGUUGUAAAGUACUUUCAGCGAGGAGGCGUUACUCGCAGAAGAAGCACCGGCUAACUCCGUGCCAGCCGCCGCGGUAAUAC